ACAUUACAGAGUUCAUGCCCGAAAGGGUAGACCUCCCACCCUUGUGUAUUAUUACUUUGUUGCUUUGGCGAGCUGCCUUCGGGCCUUGUAUGCUCGCCAGAGAAUACCAAAACUCUUUUUAUUAAUGUCGUCUGAGUACUAUAUAAUAGUUAAAACUUUCAACAACGGAUCUCUUGGUUCUGGCAUCGAUGAAGAACGCAGCGAAAUGCGAUAAGUAAUGUGAAUUGCAGAAUUCAGUGAAUCAUCGAAUCUUUGAACGCACAUUGCGCCCCUUGGUAUUCCGGGGGGCAUGCCUGUUCGAGCGUCAUUUCAACCCUCAAGCUUAGCUUGGUAUUGAGUCUAUGUCAGUAAUGGCAGGCUCUAAAAUCAGUGGCGGCGCCGCUGGGUCCUGAACGUAGUAAUAUCUCUCGUUACAGGUUCUCGGUGUGCUUCUGCCAAAACCCAAAUUUUUCUAUGGUUGACCUCGGAUCAGGUAGGGAUACCCGCUG
rnacentral:rRNA from 1 species